rnacentral:rRNA from 1 species
GGUUAAGCGACUAAGCGUACACGGUGGAUGCCCUGGCAGUCAGAGGCGAUGAAGGACGUGCUAAUCUGCGAUAAGCGUCGGUAAGGUGAUAUGAACCGUUAUAACCGGCGAUUUCCGAAUGGGGAAACCCAGUGUGAUUCGUCACACUAUCAUUAACUGAAUCCAUAGGUUAAUGAGGCGAACCGGGGGAACUGAAACAUCUAAGUACCCCGAGGAAAAGAAAUCAACCGAGAUUCCCCCAGUAGCGGCGAGCGAACGGGGAGCAGCCCAGAGCCUGAAUCAGUGUGUGUGUUAGUGGAAGCGUCUGGAAAGGCGUGCGAUACAGGGUGACAGCCCCGUACACAAAAAUGCACAUACUGUGAGCUCGAUGAGUAGGGCGGGACACGUGGUAUCCUGUCUGAAUAUGGGGGGACCAUCCUCCAAGGCUAAAUACUCCUGACUGACCGAUAGUGAACCAGUACCGUGAGGGAAAGGCGAAAAGAACCCCGGCGAGGGGAGUGAAAAAGAACCUGAAACCGUGUACGUACAAGCAGUGGGAGCACGCUUAGGCGUGUGACUGCGUACCUUUUGUAUAAUGGGUCAGCGACUUAUAUUCUGUAGCAAGGUUAACCGAAUAGGGGAGCCGAAGGGAAACCGAGUCUUAACUGGGCGUUAAGUUGCAGGGUAUAGACCCGAAACCCGGUGAUCUAGCCAUGGGCAGGUUGAAGGUUGGGUAACACUAACUGGAGGACCGAACCGACUAAUGUUGAAAAAUUAGCGGAUGACUUGUGGCUGGGGGUGAAAGGCCAAUCAAACCGGGAGAUAGCUGGUUCUCCCCGAAAGCUAUUUAGGUAGCGCCUCGUGAAUUCAUCUCCGGGGGUAGAGCACUGUUUCGGCAAGGGGGUCAUCCCGACUUACCAACCCGAUGCAAACUGCGAAUACCGGAGAAUGUUAUCACGGGAGACACACGGCGGGUGCUAACGUCCGUCGUGAAGAGGGAAACAACCCAGACCGCCAGCUAAGGUCCCAAAGUCAUGGUUAAGUGGGAAACGAUGUGGGAAGGCCCAGACAGCCAGGAUGUUGGCUUAGAAGCAGCCAUCAUUUAAAGAAAGCGUAAUAGCUCACUGGUCGAGUCGGCCUGCGCGGAAGAUGUAACGGGGCUAAACCAUGCACCGAAGCUGCGGCAGCGACGCUUAUGCGUUGUUGGGUAGGGGAGCGUUCUGUAAGCCUGUGAAGGUGUGCUGUGAGGUAUGCUGGAGGUAUCAGAAGUGCGAAUGCUGACAUAAGUAACGAUAAAGCGGGUGAAAAGCCCGCUCGCCGGAAGACCAAGGGUUCCUGUCCAACGUUAAUCGGGGCAGGGUGAGUCGACCCCUAAGGCGAGGCCGAAAGGCGUAGUCGAUGGGAAACAGGUUAAUAUUCCUGUACUUGGUGUUACUGCGAAGGGGGGACGGAGAAGGCUAUGUUGGCCGGGCGACGGUUGUCCCGGUUUAAGCGUGUAGGCUGGUUUUCCAGGCAAAUCCGGAAAAUCAAGGCCGAGGCGUGAUGACGAGGCACUACGGUGCUGAAGCAACAAAUGCCCUGCUUCCAGGAAAAGCCUCUAAGCAUCAGGUAACAUCAAAUCGUACCCCAAACCGACACAGGUGGUCAGGUAGAGAAUACCAAGGCGCUUGAGAGAACUCGGGUGAAGGAACUAGGCAAAAUGGUGCCGUAACUUCGGGAGAAGGCACGCUGAUACGUAGGUGAAGCGACUUGCUCGUGGAGCUGAAAUCAGUCGAAGAUACCAGCUGGCUGCAACUGUUUAUUAAAAACACAGCACUGUGCAAACACGAAAGUGGACGUAUACGGUGUGACGCCUGCCCGGUGCCGGAAGGUUAAUUGAUGGGGUUAGCGCAAGCGAAGCUCUUGAUCGAAGCCCCGGUAAACGGCGGCCGUAACUAUAACGGUCCUAAGGUAGCGAAAUUCCUUGUCGGGUAAGUUCCGACCUGCACGAAUGGCGUAAUGAUGGCCAGGCUGUCUCCACCCGAGACUCAGUGAAAUUGAACUCGCUGUGAAGAUGCAGUGUACCCGCGGCAAGACGGAAAGACCCCGUGAACCUUUACUAUAGCUUGACACUGAACAUUGAGCCUUGAUGUGUAGGAUAGGUGGGAGGCUUUGAAGUGUGGACGCCAGUCUGCAUGGAGCCGACCUUGAAAUACCACCCUUUAAUGUUUGAUGUUCUAACGUGGACCCGUGAUCCGGGUUGCGGACAGUGUCUGGUGGGUAGUUUGACUGGGGCGGUCUCCUCCUAAAGAGUAACGGAGGAGCACGAAGGUUGGCUAAUCCUGGUCGGACAUCAGGAGGUUAGUGCAAUGGCAUAAGCCAGCUUGACUGCGAGCGUGACGGCGCGAGCAGGUGCGAAAGCAGGUCAUAGUGAUCCGGUGGUUCUGAAUGGAAGGGCCAUCGCUCAACGGAUAAAAGGUACUCCGGGGAUAACAGGCUGAUACCGCCCAAGAGUUCAUAUCGACGGCGGUGUUUGGCACCUCGAUGUCGGCUCAUCACAUCCUGGGGCUGAAGUAGGUCCCAAGGGUAUGGCUGUUCGCCAUUUAAAGUGGUACGCGAGCUGGGUUUAGAACGUCGUGAGACAGUUCGGUCCCUAUCUGCCGUGGGCGCUGGAGAACUGAGGGGGGCUGCUCCUAGUACGAGAGGACCGGAGUGGACGCAUCACUGGUGUUCGGGUUGUCAUGCCAAUGGCACUGCCCGGUAGCUAAAUGCGGAAGAGAUAAGUGCUGAAAGCAUCUAAGCACGAAACUUGCCCCGAGAUGAGUUCUCCCUGACCCUUUAAGGGUCCUGAAGGAACGUUGAAGACGACGACGUUGAUAGGCCGGGUGUGUAAGCGCAGCGAUGCGUUGAGCUAACCGGUACUAAUGAACCGUGAGGCUU